AGGUGGGAGGCGUUGGAAAUUUUCUUGCGGGAANNUNGGAGCCGUUGGUGAGAUACCACUCUAACAAUGCUAGGANUCUANCCCUACACCGUUAUCCGGUUAGGGGACAGUUUCAGGUGGUCAGUUUGACUGGGGCGGUCGCCUCCCAAAAGGUAACGGAGGCGUGCAAAGGUUUCCUCAGGCUGGUCGGA
rnacentral:rRNA from 1 species